UGGGGAAUAUUGGACAAUGGGCGAAAGCCUGAUCCAGCCAUGCCGCGUGUGUGAAGAAGGUCUUCGGAUUGUAAAGCACUUUAAGUUGGGAGGAAGGGCAUUAACCUAAUACGUUAGUGUUUUGACGUUACCGACAGAAUAAGCACCGGCUAACUCUGUGCCAGCAGCCGCGGUAAUACAGAGGGUGCAAGCGUUAAUGGGAAUUACUGGGCGUAAAGCGCGCGUAGGUGGUUUGUUAAGUUGGAUGUGAAAUCCCCGGGCUCAACCUGGGAACUGCAUUCAAACUGACUGACUAGAGUAUGGUAGAGGGUGGUGGAAUUUCCUGUGUAGCGGUGAAAUGCGUAGAUAUAGGAAGGAACACCAGUGGCGAAGGCGACCACCUGGACUAAUACUGACACUGAGGUGCGAAAGCGUGGGGAGCAAACA
rnacentral:rRNA from 1 species